CGGGCUAUAGCUCAGUAGGCUAGAGCGCUUGCAUGGGGUGCAAGAGGUCGUCGGUUCAAGUCCGGCUAGCCCGACCA
rnacentral:tRNA from 1 species